rnacentral:rRNA from 1 species
UACGGAGGGUGCGAGCGUUGUCCGGAAUCACUGGGCGUAAAGGGCGCGUAGGCGGCGCGGUAAGCGUGCGGUGAAAGCCCGGGGCUCAACCCCGGGUCGGCCGUGCGGACUGCCGGGCUCGAGCACUGUAGAGGCGGGUGGAAUUCCGGGUGUAGCGGUGGAAUGCGUAGAGAUCCGGAAGAACACCGGUGGCGAAGGCGGCCCGCUGGGCAGUGGCUGACGCUGAGGCGCGACAGCGUGGGGAGCGAACAGG